AUUCAUUCGCAAUCAACACGGUGCUAGGAUCAAGUUGUUACAAUAAAAUACGAUAUUUAGAUACCAAAUGCGCAAGUUUCCCGUGACUAAAGAAAAAAAACCAAGCUUAUUCAAUACCGACUACUAAGUAUGACAAAAAGAACGAUGUUCAAAUUUAUUUCGUUUGAGAUACGGGUGAUCACAUACGUAAAAAUAAAUGCAACUAAUAUCAUAACUUGCAUUGGAAGACUAUUACUUGGAAUGUAACGGUGCUACGUAUAUUUCUCCAAAACGGACAAUCAGCCCAUCACCAGAACCCGUUGCCGUUCCAAUAACUCAUCAACGAUGCAUAUUUCUUCGAUGAUUAAUAAGGAAUUACAUAAAUUUCUAAUAAGUUCCUUGGGUUACCGCAAAAAUGCCACAAUUCCGGAUGAAACAGUAUCGACUUUGUCGAGAAUGCAUACUAUCAAACUCGAAAUUCUUAAUAAUCAACACGGGCACUGCCACAGAUCUAUAAUAAAGCGGACAGAUAUGGGUAAUUAUAAUCUGGGCCACUUGCUAAUAAAUUUAUGAACAAUCUUGUGUUUGUGGAUCAGCGGACAGAGUCCCAAUCUAACCAGUUAAUCUAAGUAGAAGUUGAACAAAGCAACCCUUAUCAUCUUUAAAUUAAUUUUUUAUUGCUUUUGUGAUAAUGGUUACCUGAGGUUAAUUGGGGUUUGUUACAGCAUGGGCUCGCACAUUAGUAACAAUAGAGUGUUACCUUAUUUCCAAAAAAUAUUUACAAGUAGUGUUUUUGUGUAGAAUGGUCUAGGUUUUCCGAUGCAAAUAAACUUCAUUUGAAAAAAAAACCACGGAAAUCCUAA